CAGCACAAAUUCUCAGCAACUGGAUGGUGAGCCACAGUUAGAGCGAUUUUUGUGUACAGAGAGAUGGGACAGGAAGAUCUGGAGAGGAUUUUACUGCAGCCCUUGUUGUAUGUUCUGGCUACAUGCAAAAGACAUGGGCAUCCCAGACAGAUCAUUUGAGCUAUGUGUCAAUUAGAUCCCUGCUCAUCUUUGUCUUGUAAUGAUGAGUUCAUGUACUGUGAAAGACUAAGAGGUCCUUCGUGUGUGCAUUUUCCUUUCAGAAAAAAUGGAUACAUCAGAGAUUACAGAGACAGAGAAAAUUAGACUGCAGUACCAAUUCUCUGCCUAGCAGCGUUGGAGGAAGCAACACUGUGCCCAGGUCCAGGCCAAUGCAAGCGAAGCCAAAUAAAGGGAGGAGAGAGCAGGCGGUCAUAUGCAAGGCAGAAAUGACUAGAAGACCAAGGUACCGAACCCACGCCCUGGGCAGCGAAAACACAGAGUCCUAACCGCUGGACCACCAGGGAAUUUCCAGGUUAUGUAAGACCAGCUUUAACAAGUCCCAACUUGAGAUCGGCAUAACGUGCUUUAAGACAAAUGCAUAAAGGGUGCCUCAUGUUAAGUUUCUCACUACAAGACUUUGCAUGGCCAGCCGAAGAGGCUUUUAAAUACACAAUCCCACUGUGACUAAGGCCAGGAAAAGGCUAGUCCAUGCCCAGCCCAGCCCACCCUCAGGAGGAGACAAGGAGGGCCACCUACCGCACUGAUACCAGUUCCUUCCCUCCUCCUUGUGGAAAUCUUAAUACAAAACCAACACAUACAAAGUCAAGGUGUAUAACCCUGAAUUAUCAAAACAUUUCCCUUCAAAUUCAAAACAGAAUAGUGUAUGAAAAAUAUUAUCAGCAGCGAUGUAACAAAGGAAAGGUAUUUUCUUUAACAUUAAAAAACAAACAAACAAAAAAACCGUAUUGUUAGUUGACAAGUAAUAGGAUGAAGUUAACCCAGGUCACAAAUGUAUUAAAAUUUAAGGUAGAUAACAGAACUGCCUUUAUUCCCUCAACAGGAGCUCGUGAAAUACUUGUCCACACAAGCUCCUCCACGUGAAUUCACGCCCACCACUGGAACUGUGGGGCGAUAAUCCUCAGAGCUUGCAGAGAAGGUCUUUGCCCAACAUACUUUCAAGGAGGCUAAACGGGAUGUGCUCCUUUGAAUUGAUGCUUUUAAGACCGGCAGUUGGUUAUUCUGGCAGAGUUCCCGUUUUGAGCAGUACAUCAUUUACUGUUUAUGGAUCACAGUGACAAACGGCAAGAAGUGCAAGCCCCGAAAAACAAGUCUCUCAAACUCAGGCCUGCAUGGCAUAACUUCCCCCCCUCAAGAUACAGGGAACGGGCUUUAAAUGCUCAAAGCGAAAUCCCUGGAGAAGUAGUACCAAAUGGCACAAAGCAGAGUCCACCCUGAACGAAGGAUGGUUUAGUAAAUGUGGCAAUUUCUUAUACGACUGAGCCACUAUUAAGUUGGCUAAUUUUUGUUCAGAGACUUUCCCUAGGGCUAGCUACUCAUCCACAACAUACUUAAUCCAUCCUAAAUAGAAUGGAAAACCAUUC